rnacentral:rRNA from 1 species
UACGGAGGGGGCUAGCGUUGUUCGGAAUUACUGGGCGUAAAGCGCGCGUAGGCGGAUCUGCAAGUCGGGUGUGAAAUCUCGGAGCUUAACUCCGAAACUGCAUUCGAUACUGCCGUGCUUGAGGACUGGAGAGGAGACUGGAAUUUACGGUGUAGCGGUGAAAUGCGUAGAUAUCGUAAGGAAGACCAGUGGCGAAGGCGGGUCUCUGGACAGUUCCUGACGCUGAGGCACGAAGGCCAGGGGAGCAAACGGG